ACCUGAAGAUACAUUCGAUUACUGCUAAUGUUGAUCUCUGCCUCUGGUAUAUCUUCCAAUAGCAGAAUUACAGUGAUUUGGUACAGGAGUGGAACCCAGCAUGGUCCUCUGCUUCUAAGCCCGUCCACUUCAUGGUUCAAUGAGCUUGCAUUCAGAAAUGCUCUUCCGCACACCACUCUUGUGAUGUGUGGUUAUUUAAAUUACUGUUUCCUGCCUGUCAGCUUGAACCACUGACCUCAUUCAUUAACAAAACAUUUUCACACACAGAAAUGCUGCUCACUAGAUGUCGGUUUUCUUUCUUGUACCCAUUUCCGUAAACCCUAGGGGUUGUUGGCAGGAAAAUACAAGAAAACCAGCAGUUUCUAAGAUACUCAAACUACCACAUCUGAUACCAACAAUCAUUCAAAGGCACUUGGAUCACAAUUCUUCCCCGUUCUGAUGUUUGGUCAGAAAUAAAACUGACCCUCUUAACUAUGCCAGCAUGCCUUUAUGCAUUGAGUUGCUGCCGCAUGAUUGGGUGAUUAGAUAUUUAUAUUAAUGAGCAAGUAUGCAUACAGUUAUACCUAAUAAAGUGGCCACUGAGUGCUAUCAGCACUUCUUAAGGACGAGCUACUUCCAGGCUAAGCCUGAAAGCUGUUGCUUGUCCCUACCUUACUGAAAGCUCCAUACGUUCUGCAAAGGAGAAAGUACAAAUGAGAUGAAUGAUCCAUGAUAGACUUGGUGAACUGUUUGAUCAGAACUUAAAAUUGGAAAUGCGCGGGGAAGACUAAGAAAUUGCUUUUAAUGGACAUUGGCAACACUGUGCAAUCGACGGAGUAAGAUUUCUAUUUUCUCUGCAGAUCACAAUUUCUAGUUAGACCUCAGCCAAGCAUCCUGGAAUAGUCAAGCAUUGCUUUCAGUUUCUGAUCUGGGGAAGGCUAAUGAGUUCUUUCAUCAGUUCAUCAGCCUUUUCCAUUGGCGUGCAACAUCCACUUCUAACCACACUGCUGCUGCGGAAGACAUCUUUCUUACACUGCUGCUAUUCAGCAUGACAAAGGAGCAGAUUUAGCCAUUCAGCCCAUCGAGUCUGCUGCAUACCAACCAAACCGGAGAUAGGUGAAUUUCACAGAAGCCUCGUGUGAUUGUUGAUGAAUUGCAGUUUAAGGGUAGAUUGGAUUUAAGCAGCUGUGAGUCCCAUUGAAGGUUGUCCCAGUGGUGUCCUUUUCUCCCAUUUGCCUUCAUCGAUGUUAAAGAUAUCUACUGAUCCUAAAGGACACUGGUCUUCAUUCAUGCCUCCAAUAAU